CUGAAAAUCUCCACCAGCCCAAUGUGGUUAAUUCCGUCCGUCUUUGAGAGAAGUUCUGGUUCCUUGUGACGGACACCUCGGUCCGUUCAGGAGAAGAAUUGGUGGCGUGAGAAGAUUCAGGUUAUCAAUAAUCCACAUUAUGAACGAACGAGUCACGUGUCAUGUCUGCAGUACCAUCUGUGGGACUUUGUUCUUUACGAGAGCCCAACUUUAAGAUUCAGCAGGAUAAGAAAUGUGUAUUUUUGGAUAGAAAAAAUGCCGGCAGCAGUUUAAAGAUUUUAAUAAAUUGCAGCAACCUGAAACCUUCUCUUAGAUGAUGCAGAUAUACAGUCCUCCUUCUCCGCCUCUCCAUUGUAUCGUUGUUAGAGGCACCGUGUUCUCUUCAUCCUACCACUCAUCAAAGGUUACACUCUGGGGAGGAAUUACUCUGACCUGCUUUUCUUUCAACGGAUGAUGGGCAAAACAAACAGGAAAUACUACAAUGGGACACAUUACAAAUGCCAAAGCAUUACUCUUCUUUCUUAAUCCCUUGCUGUCAACAUUUCUCACCCAGCAAACUCUUCCACUGCUCCCACAGAGAAAACAAACACAGAAGCCGGACCACACGAUACGAGUUUCUCCGUUACCCUCAGUCUGCCCACGCGCUCCGGAAAUCCUCCGGCAUAAUCAAUGCGUCGGUUAUCCCCCCUUCUCCCCUCCCUGUAUUCUCAGAUGAGCAUAUUAAGAGGCAUUUGUGAUAUUCCCAAGGAGUGAAGAUCAAGGCUCCGAGCUUAUCCACCGCCUGUUUGGCAACCACACAUUUCCCCCGACAGUUGGAGGAAGCCUGGGGGGCUUCAGUGCCAUUCUCCACCUAUCCACUAGAUGCCCUCAGACCUUCACCUGCCCCGCUCACCUGGAUCACUCCUUCACCUGCUCACCUGUAUCCACGUCCACCCAUCAGGCCUGCCGGCGUACAACCGAGCAGUUUCCCACACGUUCAGCAUGUUGCUUGUUGCCUUUGUGUCCCGGAUCUCUGAACCCGAGCUUUACCCCCGAACCUGUUUCUGGCCCUGCUGCUGUUCGACCUCCUGCCUGUUCGCUCACCGGCGCUGCACACACCAUUACACCACUGGAUGAUAAUAUGGAAAAUAUAGAAAUGUGUAGAGAGAAAUGUGUAGCAAAUGACACCUCUUACGGAUACAUAUUUUCCUCUUGAACUGAAGACAUGCAAGCACGCGCACACACACACACACACACACACAC
ensembl:lncRNA